rnacentral:rRNA from 1 species
UAGGGAAUCUUCCACAAUGGACGCAAGUCUGAUGGAGCAACGCCGCGUGAGUGAAGAAGGUCUUCGGAUCGUAAAGCUCUGUUGUUGGUGAAGAAGGAUAGAGGCAGUAACUGGUCUUUAUUUGACGGUAAUCAACCAGAAAGUCACGGCUAACUACGUGCCAGCAGCCGCGGUAAUACGUAGGUGGCAAGCGUUGUCCGGAUUUAUUGGGCGUAAAGCGAGCGCAGGCGGAAUGAUAAGUCNGAUGUGAAAGCCCACGGCUCAACCGUGGAACUGCAUCGGAAACUGUCAUUCUUGAGUGCAGAAGAGG